AUUGAACGCUGGCGGCAUGCCUUACACAUGCAAGUCGAACGGCAGCACGGGGGCAACCCUGGUGGCGAGUGGCGAACGGGUGAGUAAUGCAUCGGAACGUGCCCAGUAGUGGGGGAUAACUAGUCGAAAGAUUAGCUAAUACCGCAUACGACCUAUGGGUGAAAGCGGGGGAUUCGCAAGAACCUCGCGCUAUCGGAGCGGCCGAUGUCUGAUUAGCUAGUGGCGGGGUAAAGCCCACCAAGGCUUCGAUCAGUAGCUGGUCUGAGAGGACGACCAGCCACACUGGGACUGAGACACGGCCCAGACUCCUACGGGAGGCAGCAGUGGGGAAUUUUGGACAAUGGGCGCAAGCCUGAUCCAGCCAUGCCGCGUGCGGGAAGAAGGCC
rnacentral:rRNA from 1 species